AGUGAACGCUGGCGGUAGGCCUAACACAUGCAAGUCGAACGGCAGCACAGUAAGAGCUUGCUCUUACGGGUGGCGAGUGGCGGACGGGUGAGGAAUACAUCUGAAUCUACUUUUUCGUGGGGGAUAACGUAGGGAAACUUACGCUAAUACCGCAUACGACCUACGGGUGAAAGCAGUGGAUCUUCGGAUCUUGCGCGUUUGAAUGAGCCGAUGUCGGAUUAGCUGGUUGGCGGGGUAAAGGCCCACCAAGGCGACGAUCCGUAGCUGGUCUGAGAGGAUGAUCAGCCACACUGGAACUGAGACACGGUCCAGACUCCUACGGGAGGCAGCAGUGGGGAAUAUUGGACAAUGGGCGCAAGACUGAUCCAGCCAUACCGCGUGGGUGAAGAAGGCCUUCGGGUUGUAAAGCCCUUUUGUUGGGAAAGAAAAGCAGAAGGUUAAUACCCCGCUGUUCUGACGGUACCCAAAGAAUAAGCACCGGCUAACUUCGUG
rnacentral:rRNA from 1 species